CCAAUUUUGUAUAACAUAUGAUCAACAUUUGUUGUUCAUUAUUUUAGUUGUGAUUCUUUUAAUUCAUAUGUGCCUGCAUAUUGCAAAGAGCUUAUACGUGGGGUGCCGAUAUCAUCUUUACUUUACUUUUAUAAAGUAAACUUUAUGUACCUUUGGCAACCAAAUUUUUGUUUAUGGGCCAAGUAAUUUACAGUAAGUCUUAUAAUGUAAGCAUUUAUAACUUGGAAGUAGAUAAAGAAUUGAUAAUCCAUAUGCUUGACAGUCUAUCCAUUAUUUGGUGCACUAGAUGCCCUUAGCUUCUGGAAAUGAUACACGAGCCUUCCUUUCUCUCUAAUUGUAGUAUAUUAGAUUUGAAAGCUGUCUUGUAUGUUUGAAAAAUCAUUUUUAGCACCUGUAAAGUCAACAGUGUUCUGUUGAGGGAAAAUCGUUGUUUGUAUAGUAUAUAGAAUGUCUUUUUGGUUAUAAUAUUUUUCAAACGGUAUCUGAUAUUUCCAAUUUUUUACUACUAUUGCAUUAUCCAUUACAUAUUCCAGUUAUUGUGCUCAUCUCUCUUGUCUGUUGAUAUUUGAAGUGGUGUCAUUUUCAUUUGUAUGUUAUUCUUUACUGUUUUGUAUCAACUGAAAUUUAUGUCAAUCAUUCAUGAUUUUGAGAUGAGAUCUAUAAUUAAAAAUGUUCGCUUAUUUUUUAGUUGUACGACUAAGUCACAUGGUUUCUUGGUGCAUUUCCAAGAGUCCGGAGCAAACAGCCAAAAAUAUUGCAAAUACAAUUGUGUGUUUAAUUAUGCUGCCUUCCAAAAUCAGGCCCAAAUUGGUUGCUUUUCUUUGUAGCUUCAAGACAGCCAUAGUCUGCUUCUAUAUUCCAUGAAAAACAUAUCCUUUGUAUUAAAAGGUUAUUGUCAUGGUUUAUUUAUUGGCUCUAUAUUUGCUGUGCUCAAACAAGAUACGCUUCUUCUGUUCCUGACUUUGAUUGGUGAGAUUUUUCCACUAUUGGACAGAUGAUUGUUAGAGCAGAGCCCAGGGUGCCAGACUAGUUUGGAUUCCUUCCCUCAGAUUGAUGCCUCUGCAUUUCAUUUUUUGCUUAUAAAAAGACAGACUUCUGUCAAUAUGCAUAGCGGGAUCACAAAAUCCACACAGUUAGGAUGCUAUGCUAAGUCCAAACUAAACAGUCAUGGUUAUUUAUUAUGUUGGUAAACAAUAAUAAAUAAAGCUGCCGAAUCUUCGUUCACCGUGCCCAGUUAUGUUAUUUACAAGAAAGUACAGACUUAUACUGGUGGAGAUACUUCAGUUUUCUGCUUAUGGUUCUCACAAUUCAGAGUCCUUAAGGAUCAUUCCAUUUCAGUAAAACCAUUCUUCAGAUUCAUAUUCAUCAUAUCAGUUCAAGUUACUAUGCUCCUAUUAAGAAUUCCAUAAGAUCCAUGAGGCAUCCUGUGCAUAAAGAUUGGAAAGAACCGAGGCCAAUCACACAGAAAAUAAUUUCGUUCAAACACUGAAAUAAUCAAUUCAAUCGGAUUUCUAAGUACGCUUUUGUUGUAAAGGGAGCUGAAGCCAUUGUACCUUGCUUUUCUUUCAGGAAACCCAAAUGGGAAGAUAAGUACCUGAGCCAUUGUGAAAAGGGAAGAAGGGUGUGAAAACAAGCAAGAGGAGAAUGAAGGUUUGAGAAUACAAUGUAAGACGUGUGGUUGUGGAUGUCUUGUUUUAUUACUGGCCAGCCAGAAUGGAGAAACUCAAAAAGACAAAUGGUUGAUGUGUUGAUAACAUGUUACGUGCCAUUUGAAACAUCUUUUAUUUUGUCUCUCAUUUUCGCUUUGUUUUUAUACUAUCUUUCCUACCCUAUCAAUACAAAUCACACA